UCUCGAUUGGUCUAGUGGUAAGGAUACCUGCUUGUCAUUCAUCAAGGAACAAGUCGCAGGUGGCCGGGGUUCGAUUCCCCGAUCGAGAG